rnacentral:tRNA from 1 species
GGAGCAGUACCCAAGAGGCUGAAGGGACUAGUUUCGAAAACUAGCAGAGGUUCACACCUGCAAGGGUUCAAAUCCCUUCUGCUCCGCCA